CCUACGGGUGGCAGCAGUAGGGAAUAUUCCACAAUGAGCGAAAGCCUGACGCAGCGACACAGCGUGCACGAUGACGGUCUUCGGAUUGUAAAGCUCUGUUAUAAGGGAAGAACAUUUGCUCUAGGAAAUGUUUGUAUAUUGACGGUACCUUGUCAGAAAGCGAUGGCUAACUAGGUGCAAGCAGCCGCGGUAAUACAUAGGUCGCAUGCGUUAUCCGGAAUUAUUGGGCGUAAAGCGUUCGUAGUCUGUUUGUUAGGUCUGGAGUUAAAUCCCGGGGCUAAACCCCGGCUCGAUUUGGAUACUAGCAAACUAGAGUGAGAUAGAGGUAAGCGGAAUUCCAUGUGAAGCGGUGAAAUGCGUAGAUAUAUGGAAGAACACCAAAGGCGAAGGCAGCUUACUGGGUCUAUACUGACGCUGAGGGACGAAAGCGUGGGGAGCAAACAGGAUUAGAUACCCGAGUAGUC
rnacentral:rRNA from 1 species